AUGUACAAUUUACCGGCCAGACUUAAACUUGUUGGAAAUGGGUUGAUCAUCAACAGUAAUAAUGGAGAAAGUGUGACAGGAGGCUUGUCCAACUAUAUAUUAAGCUUCAGAUGUGAAAUAUGUGGGUUUUAUGGUAGCAUAAUUACAUUAUACAUUGAGUCCAAGACUUGGCAACUCCUUGUUAGAACCCCUCAUUACAGUCUCUUUGUCUCUCACAGCACUUCCAGCGGUUCCAUUUGUCAUGGCAAAAGGCCACCUUGGCUGGCUAAACACGUCCAACCAAGCAAAUCCAG
rnacentral:lncRNA from 1 species